ACUUCUGUUGAUUGAGAGAGACACGGAUCUCAAUAGCGAAUAGCCUAUAAACAUGUCUUUGACGUCAUAUCCCUCUUGUGUUAUUCCCAUAGUCUGCGCGCGCGCGCGUGUGCGCGCCCGUGCGUGCGGCAGAAGAGGAAGUAAGGUUUUAUCUCUAACGCCGAGCAAUAUUAUUGAACUUUUAGAGCUACAGUCCACCGCAAAUGUAUAAAAAUCAAGCAACCAACAGGCAACAAUUCAUUUUCAAUUGUGAUAAUGUUAGCAAUGGCUAUUGAUGCAAACUGUAACAUUUACUUACUACUAAAUCCAGUUUUUGAAAUUAAUAUAUAUUGUAACAUUGUCACCUCUGUAGCUAAGACUAGAUUCACAUGCACAAUUAGUGGACCCAACCAUUCAGGACUUUACACCAACACAACUUAUCAAGCACUCCGGUGUGCACCCACACGGUAAACACGACGCGUAGAUGAUCAGCCAACACGUAGUCACGGGAGUGAAAGUGUCGCAACAAAAACUUUUCCUAAGUGGUUUGAAGGAGUAUCUAAGACACAUCUCCCAAAUACGCACGUUUGGAGCGGGGAAGUGAUUCAAAAAGUGGAUAAUAUGUGUGGGAUUUUAACAUAGCUCUGCUUGCUUGAAGACCAUGCUUCCUCGACAGCUACAGGAAGUAUGUCUUCGUUUGGUCCUUUUUGAGGAUAGAGUUGGCCUUCCACUUCAGGCUUGAGCGUGUUCGCCUCCAGAUGGUGUUGGCCACACUGAAGCGCUACUAUGCAGACUCGUUGCCAUUGUUGAUGACGUCGAUGGCUGUGCUGCUGUCUGAAAACUUCAGGAAUUUGACAGCUGCACGUUGAGGCACAGCCAUUGGCGAAAAGAGAAAAGAGCAGCAGAGAAAGGACACUUACUUUGGGAGCCCCGGUAAUGAUGGUGCAUGUGGAUGAAAUAGUUUUCCCCAGCCUCACUCGCUGUGUCCUUGCUUGUUAGGAAGCUGUAAAUCCUCCUGAGGAUGGCAAGAGAGAUGUUGAGCUGGAGGAGCUCGGAGGAACGGAGGUCAGGGAUGAUGGUCCUGAAUGCAGAGCUAAAAUCCAAACGAUCCUCCUGUCAGUCCCUACACCAUUGAGGUGAUCCAGGGUAAAAUGCAACUUUGUGUUGACUACAUCAUCACCCACCCAUCAUACACCCACCUGUUUGCUUAGAACACAAACGGCAGAGAGUUCAGCAGUCUAAGCAAGUGCUGACUCAUUUUGAAUGUAAAAUACAAAUCGCUGACACACAAAGUUAUCAACCUAG